rnacentral:rRNA from 1 species
UACGAAGGGGGCUAGCGUUGCUCGGAAUCACUGGGCGUAAAGCGCACGUAGGCGGAUUGUUAAGUCAGGGGUGAAAUCCUGGAGCUCAACUCCAGAACUGCCUUUGAUACUGGCGAUCUCGAGUCCGGGAGAGGUGAGUGGAACUGCGAGUGUAGAGGUGAAAUUCGUAGAUAUUCGCAAGAACACCAGUGGCGAAGGCGGCUCACUGGACCGGUUCUGACGCUGAUGCGCGAAAGCGUGGGGAGCAAACGGG